rnacentral:rRNA from 1 species
UUGAUCAUGGCUCAGAUUGAACGCUGGCGGCGUGCUUAACACAUGCAAGUCGAACGCGAAAGGGGCUUCGGCCUGAGUAAAGUGGCGCACGGGUGAGUAACACGUGGAUAAUCUGCCCUUAUGAUCGGGAUAACAGUCGGAAACGGCUGCUAAUACCGGAUACGCUCAAAAUGAACUUUUUGAGGAAAGGUGACCUCUGCUUGCAAGUUACCGUAUAAGGAUGAGUCCGCGUCCCAUUAGCUUGUUGGUGGGGUAACGGCCUACCAAGGCAACGAUGGGUAGCCGAUUUGAGAGGAUGAUCGGCCACACUGGGACUGAAACACGGCCCAGACUCCUACGGGAGGCAGCAGUGGGGAAUAUUGCGCAAUGGGCGAAAGCCUGACGCAGCGACGCCGCGUGAGGGGAAUGAAGGUUUUCGGAUCGUAAACCUCUGUCAGAAGGGAAGAAACCGCACCGUGCCUAAUCCAGCGGUGCCUUGACGGUACCUUCAAAGGAAGCACCGGCUAACUCCGUGCCAGCAGCCGC